ACCUGGGUGGCUCAGUCGGUUGAGCAUCUGACUUAGGCUCAGGUUAACUCAGGUC
rnacentral:tRNA from 1 species